GUUUGAUCAUGGCUCAGGACGAACGCUGGCGGCGUGCCUAAAACAUGCAAGUCGAACGGUUCUAGCAAUAGGACAGUGGCGAACGGCGGAGUAAUACGUGAACAACGUGCCCCAAAGACCGGGAUAGUUAUUGGAAACGAUGGGUAAUACCGGAUGUGGUGAUUGAGUCUCAUGAUUUGAUCAUUAAAUGGUUUUUCGCUUUGGGAGCGGUUCACGGCCUAUCAGGUAGAUGGUGGGGUAAUGGCCUACCAUGCCGACGACGGGUAGCGGGUCUGAGAGGAUGAUCCGCUCGAGUGGGACUGAGACACGGCCCACACACCUACAGGUGGCAGCAGUUGGGAAUCUUGCACAAUGGGGGAAACCCUGAUGCAGCGACGCCGCGUGGAGGAUGAAGGAUCUAGGUCUGUAAACUCCUUUUUUCAGGAAGGACUUAGGACGGUACCUGAAGAAUAAGCACCGGCUAACUACGUGCCAGCAGCCGCGGUGAGACGUAAGGUGCAAGCGUUGUCCGGAUUUACUGGGCGUUAAGAACGCGUAGGCGGUCUGUUAAGUGUAGAGUGAAAGCUCC
rnacentral:rRNA from 1 species